UGCCGGCGAAGGCGUCGGACAGGUCCGCCUGGCUCGCGGCCGGGCCGGCCAGCUGGACGGUCGUGCCGGGGACGCGUUCCGCGGCGGCGC
rnacentral:tRNA from 1 species